GGCAAUAGAAGGAUGGAUCAAGAGGUCACCCAUCUUAGUACUCGUCUCGACCAACUAUGUUUAUCUUUGGAGUGAUGAUGGGAUCUAGUGAAUUAGUGCUGUAAUGAUCUCACCCGUCUGCUUCCCAUGCUCAUAUGUACUUGAAUAGUCUUUCACUACUUCUUCCAUUCUUUUUCACUCAUUUCUCUUACUUUUUACUACAUGUUGGUCUCGUUUCCGCAGGAGCAUCAAAGUAACACGCACUCACGGUUCCCCGACGUCAUUACCUAAGUUCAACUAGAGGAUGGUGUUUAGUUAAAUGAUCCAUUACACCUCGAGGAAGAAAUGGAAACAAAAAUAUAAAAAGGACGAGGGCAAUAGGAUGAUGGAUCAAGAGGUCACCCAUCUUACUACUCAGCUCGGCCAAGUAUGUUUAUCUUCGGAGUGAUCAAGGGAUCUGGUGAAUUAGGGUUGUUAUGAUCAUACCCGUCUGCUUCCCAUGCUCAUAUGUACUUGAAUAGUCUUUCACUACUUCCUGCCUUCUUUUUACUUCAUUUCUCUUACUUUUUACUACAUGUUGGUCUCGUUUCCACAAGAGCAUCAAACUUACACGCACUCACGGUUCCCCGACAUCAUUACCUAAGUUCUACUAGAGGAUGUUGUUUAGUUAAAUGUUCCCAUUACAGCUUGAGGAAAAAAGGGAAACAAAAAUAUCAAAAGGACGGGGGGCAAUAGGAGGAUGGGUCAAGAGGUCACCAAUCUUAGUACUACUCUCGCCCAAGUAUGUUUAUCUUUGGAGUUAAAAUGUAAUGAUCUCACCUGUAUGUUUCUCAUGCUCAUAUGUACAUGAAUAGUCUUUCACUACUUCCUCCCUUUAUUUUCACUCAUUUCUCUUACUUUUUACUAUGUCUUGGUCUCGUUUCCGUAGAAGCUUCGAACUAACCCAUAGUCUUGGUUCCCCGACAUCAUUACAUAGGUUCUAAUGGAAGAUGUUGUUUACUUAAACGUUUACAUUACACCUUGGCGCAAAAAUAGCCACAAAAACAGAAAAGUAUGUUUAUCUUUGGAGUGAUGAAGGGAUCUGGUGCAUUAGUGUUGUAUUGAUCUCACCUGUCUGCUUCCCAUGCUCAUAUGUACUUGAAUAGUCUUUCACUACUUCCUCCCUUCUUUUUUCACUCAUUUCUCUUAGUUUUUGCUGCAUGUUGGUCUCGUUUCCGCAGGAGCAUCAAACUAACAAGGACUCAUGGUUCCGCGACGUCAUUACCUAAGUUCUACUAGAGGAUGUUGUUUAGUUAAAUGAUCCAUUACAGCUCGAGGAAAAAAUGGAAACAAAAAUAAAAAAAGGACGAGGGCAAUAAGUGGAUGGAUCAAGAGGUCACCCAUCUUAGUACUACUCUUGGCAAACUAUGUUUAUGUUUGGUGUGAUUAUGGGAUCCGGUGAAUGAGUGUUGUAAUGAUCUCACCCGUCUACUUCCCACGCUCAAAUGUACAUCAAACACUUCCAUUACACCUCGGGGCAAAAAUUGAAACAAAAUAAAAAAAAGAAUGGGUGCAAUA
rnacentral:lncRNA from 1 species